GUGUACAAUAGAACAGACUGGGAUUUGAAACGUACAAAUAGAUUGAGGAAUUUAUCAUCACAUGCAAAAAUGAUGCUUUGCAUGCGCACACAGUGAAUUUAUCAAAGGGCUUAGCCACAUUGAGACGACAUUGUUUACAGAAUGAGUAACUUGUGAAUUCUUUGAAUAGCCUUCCAGCAGAGAUGGUAGAGGUUUAUACUCCCAUUGUACAGCGCUACGGAAUUUGCUGGCGCUGUAUAAAUAAUAUAAUAAUACACUGGAAUUUCAUACAUGCUUUAUGUAGACUUACAGUUGCCCUGACAAACCAUGAAAGCUUCACCUUUUUUCAAUGCGUUAACUAGCUCGCUUCAAUGAUACUUCUCUUCCCUCACACUAGCUUUUCUCUUAUUUCAGUGAUAGGGACUUAAUUUUCUAUCACCUGUAACAUCUAUCGUAAAGGCCCACCUUAUUCCAAGAACUGUGUGAUUUACUAAGGCAGUAUUCUUCAGCCAGCCUUGAC